UUCUAUGGCGGGCCGCGCGGGGACGCCCUCGGGCGUGCCGGUUCCUUGGUCCCGGUUUUCCAGCCCCGCGCGGUCCGUCACCACC
rnacentral:antisense_RNA from 1 species